UUAGUAGUUUAUGUCAAAGGGAGGAAAAAAAAAAAGAAAUAAGAUAAGAGAAGAUAUUAGAAGCAGCCUUAUCAUUCACUCUUUUAUAAAAUUGUCUCUAAAUUCUCAACAUCAUCAUCCCUUCCAUUCUCUGCCUUCUAUUUUCAUGGUUAUUUUACGCCUUCACAAUUAAUCUCACCAUCUUAGAAAAUUUCUUCAAUCAACAAAGAAAGGGACCCAAAUAAAUUAGGUUUUCGGUGCGUUUUGGGGCGUUUGGGGCUACUUCAAGAAGCGAUUUUCCCAAGCUUUGAUAGUUUUUAACCUUCUUUGGUGUGGAUACCGAUUUCAUUGAGGAGCCGUAUUGAUUGUGCUAGUUGGUUUGCUGUAAUUUAAAAGGUACCUAAAGGUUAGAAUCGGGGUACGGGCAAAGAGCUACGUCCAUUCAUUUUGUGUAUAUAGUUAUAAUAUUUCUUUUCGCCUUAGUUUUAUGUAUAAUUAAUAUUUUAAAACUUAAAGGUGUAGAUAUUAAUCAGCGCAAAAUAUUUUCGGUUA